GAUGAACGCUGGCGGCGUGCCUAAUACAUGCAAGUCGAACGCGAGCACUUGUGCUCGAGUGGCGAACGGGUGAGUAAUACAUAAGUAACCUGCCCUAGACAGGGGGAUAACUGCUGGAAACGGUAGCUAAGACCGCAUAGGUAUGGACACUGCAUGGUGACCAUAUUAAAAGUGCCAAGGCACUGGUAGAGGAUGGACUUAUGGCGCAUUAGCUAGUUGGUGAGGUAACGGCUCACCAAGGCGACGAUGCGUAGCCGACCUGAGAGGGUGACCGGCCACACUGGGACUGAGACACGGCCCAGACUCCUACGGGAGGCAGCAGUAGGGAAUUUUCGGCAAUGGGGGAAACCCUGACCGAGCAACGCCGCGUGAAGGAAGAAGGAAUUCGUUCUGUAAACUUCUGUUAUAAAGGAAGAACGGCGGAUAUAGGGAAUGAUAUCCGAGUGACGGUACUUUAUGAGAAAGCCACGGCUAACUACGUGCCAGCAGCCGCGGUAAUACGUAGGUGGCGAGCGUUAUCCGGAAUUAUUGGGCGUAAAGAGGGAGCAGGCGGCAGCAGAGGUCUGUGGUGAAAGACUGAAGCUUAACUUCAGUAAGCCAUAGAAACCGGGCAGCUAGAGUGCAGGAGAGGAUCGUGGAAUUCCAUGUGUAGCGGUGAAAUGCGUAGAUAUAUGGAGGAACACCAGUGGCGAAGGCGACGAUCUGGCCUGUAACUGACGCUCAUUCCCGAAAGCGUGGGGAGCAAAUAGGAUUAGAUACCCUGGUAGUCC
rnacentral:rRNA from 1 species